GACGUAGGGCGCGAGCGUUGUCCGGAUUUAUUGGGCGUAAAGAGCUCGUAGGCGGCUUGUCGCGUCGUCCGUGAAAACCCACGGCUUAACCGGGGAACUGCGUCUGAUACUGGAUGGCUCGAGUUUGGGAGAGGGAUGCGGAAUUCCAGGUGUAGCGGUGAAAUGCGUAGAUAUCUGGAGGAACACCGGUGGCGAAGGCGGCAUCCUGGACCAACACUGACACUGAGGAGCGAAAGCCAGGGGAGCAAACGGG
rnacentral:rRNA from 1 species